CGGUGCGAUUUUUAGGACUUCCGGCCUAUUACGGUAAUCGGUUUUGGGAAAUCGAUUCCCGUGGGUUUACAGGUGGGUUUGUGUGUUAGGAUUGUGUUAUAUAUAUGGGUUGUAUUCUAACCCGGUGGACCCUUUGUAGGUCCGGUUGAUAUUCUUCUGUAGUCGGGAGACCAGUGCUACGUACGUAUAGGUAGGUACUUCGACCUGAAGUCGGUACAAUAGUGUACUCUCGGUGACAUCCUUCUACCCUUCUCAUACUAUUACCUU
rnacentral:lncRNA from 1 species